UGUUCCACCUUCGUUGCUCGUAUAGAUCGAUCCUCUCCUCCCCUCACCCCUGGUGGCAUCGUCUUCACUCGCUAACACAAACCUCAUUCUGUACUCUCACUCUCACUCUCUCAUCCAUUUUCUUUCAUUCCAUUCCCUCCUUCCUCAUAUCAGUCCCAAAUCAAUCAUUACGCCCCUGUUUCUAGACUUUCCUUCUCUGUUUUUUUUCCCCAGAAAAUUCUUGCUUGUUUCUUACCUGUUUGAUUUUUUUCAUUCCUCUUCGCCCAAGACUUUUUAAAUUCUGGGUAUCGCUGUGCUCGUCGUGUUUCUCCUACCCUCACAGCUUUUAGCGGAAAAUCAGUUCUUGUUUUCUUUGUCUGGUUCUCCAAAGAUGGAUCUUUUUCGAACCCCAUCUUCGCUGAAAUCAAACAGAUUGGAGGCGGCUUUAGGGGCUGCUAGGAUUGUGUUUAUGUCCAUGGGGGUUAUUACCAUUCUGGUUUUGUUGAAGGUGGCGAUAAUCCCUUGUGCUUUUGAUUUCGCUCUCUCCACUUUUCCUCGUCUUCUUGUUUCUACAAGAACCUUGCUUUCCCCAGUGUUCGUGUACAUCAUCGUCAACUUCAUCAUCAUCAUCAUUGUUGCUUCCUCCAACUUCCACUACAAAACUGUCACCUUUUCCGAUCAUUCCCCACCCCCUGAUCUCAAGCGCACAACCACCGUCUCCGCCGCCGACGAUGUCAUAACUGAAUCUGAUUACGCCAUUCCCGACGUCACUCCCGUCCACCAAUCGGAGCUUGAAAGCCAGAGCAAUGAUCCCAUAGAAGAAAAAAAAGUAGUGCUUGAAGACUCUGCUUCGUCCUGCGACAAGUCCGGUGCCAACCGAUCGCCGGAAAAAUGUGCCAACGAUUAUGUGUCGCCGGAUGCCGAUGACACGCUAGAUGCCACGUGGAGGGCGAUCAUGGAGGGGCAGGGGAAGACGAAGACGCCGCAGCUGAAGAAGAGUGACACGUGGGGUGCGAGGAUUGAGAAAGCAGAGCCAUUUCGGGAAAAUGAAGAUGGAGAAGACGACCUGGUGGCUUGGGCUCGCAAGGAGCUGAAAAAAUCUGAAACUUUCAACGACACGGCGUCGCUUCGGAGGGACAUAUCCAUGACUCCCGAAGAGCUGAACCGGCGAGCCGAUGCGUUUAUUCAAAACUUCAUCAACCAAAUGAGGCUACAGAGGCUGGAAUCUGACCAGCGUUUCAUGGAAAUGGUCAAUCGUAGGGCUUAAUAUCACUUUCACCAAACUCAAAAAAUGUGAGCAAAACGAGAGUCUUCAUCGCUCUUAAAUAGCACGCUAAUGGUUUUGGUAUGUACAAUACAAUGGAGUAUCAGAAUUAGUGUUGUUUCUUCUUCCUUGUCAAGCCUUUUCUUGUAACAUAGUGGGAAUAAGUUGGCUUUUCUCCUUUAGAGUUUUGUGUAUAUGUUUCUGCUAGAUGUUUUACUAGUAGCUAUUCAGUCUCUGGUCUGGUGUGUUUGGUAUUACAUAUAUGGCUGUUGUGGUUUGAAUAAGCUGGAAUGGAAGAAGAUUAUUUGUAAUGUGCAAUUUAGUUAAGUAAUCAAGCUUGCCAUGUGGUUAUUUAUGGACGAAA